GAUGAACGCUGGCGGCAUGCCUAAUACAUGCAAGUCGAACGAGAGGAAGGAAAGCUUGCUUUCCUGAAUCUAGUGGCGAACGGGUGAGUAACACGUAGGUAACCUGCCCAUGAGCCCGGGAUAACUUCUGGAAACGGAUGCUAAAACCGGAUAGGUAGCAGACAAGCAUUUGACUGCUAUUAAAGUGGCUAAGGCCAUGAACAUGGAUGGACCUGCGGUGCAUUAGCUAGUUGGUGAGGUAACGGCCCACCAAGGCGACGAUGCAUAGCCGGCCUGAGAGGGCGGACGGCCACAUUGGGACUGAGACACGGCCCAAACUCCUACGGGAGGCAGCAGUAGGGAAUUUUCGUCAAUGGGGGGAACCCUGAACGAGCAAUGCCGCGUGAGUGAGGAAGGUCUUCGGAUCGUAAAGCUCUGUUGUAAGAGAAAAACGGCACUCAUAGGGAAUGAUGAGUGAGUGAUGGUAUCUUACCAGAAAGUCACGGCUAACUACGUGCCAGCAGCAGCCGCGGUAA
rnacentral:rRNA from 1 species